rnacentral:rRNA from 1 species
AACGAACGCUGGCGGCAUGCCUAACACAUGCAAGUCGAACGAGACCUUCGGGUCUAGUGGCGCACGGGUGCGUAACGCGUGGGAACCUGCCCUUAGGUUCGGAAUAACUCCCCGAAAGGGGUGCUAAUACCGGAUAAUGUCUUCGGACCAAAGAUUUAUCGCCUUUGGAUGGGCCCGCGUUGGAUUAGCUAGUUGGUAGGGUAAAAGCCUACCAAGGCGACGAUCCAUAGCUGGUCUGAGAGGAUGAUCAGCCACACUGGGACUGAGACACGGCCCAGACUCCUACGGGAGGCAGCAGUGGGGAAUAUUGGACCAUGGGCGAAAGCCUGAUCCAGCAAUGCCGCGUGAGUGAUGAAGGCAUUAGGGUUGUAAAGCUCUUUUAACCGGGAUGAUAAUGACAGUACCGGGAGAAUAAGCUCCGGCUAACUCCGUG